rnacentral:rRNA from 1 species
AUGUUCGGCCCGUUUGGAACGCAUGAAUUUUACUGGUGUGUAGCUCUUUGGCUGCCGCAGGAAAUGGAGAUCUGUUCCUGUGUUCCGGACGUGUCUGGUAUGUAUGUGCAGUUGAAUGAUGACUUGGGUUGGAAAAUUGACGUGAAAACUGUACUAGUACCUAUCGUCACUGCUUUGGACAGAUCGAAGCUUUCAUCCGACGGACAUGGACAUGCACCGUUGUCUUCUUGCCUUCCUAAAUUCCAUGAACUUUCUUUCCAUCCUUGGUUAACUAACUCGACCCAUGUAUCCUGGCGAUACCCCCUACCUGGAGAUAAGCUACCAGUUGCUCCUUGA